UGGGGAGGGGCCAGCUGCUGUGUUCAGUCCGCCAUUGCAAACACGAAGCUCUUCCAGAAACGCCCUCACAGACACCCCGGAAGUCACGUACCCACUCUGUAGGUGCCCCGGGGCACAGGCAAGCGGACGAGCCAGUUAUCCCUCAGAGCUCCUGCUGCCUCGCCCGCUUUCUCUCGGAAACGUGAAGUGUGGCCUCAGCUGAAAGUGAGGUGGGCCUCAUUCAAUCAGUUGAAUUCUUCAAGAGAGAAAAACUGAAGUCCCUUAGAAGGAAAGAGUUCUGCCUUCAGACUGUCUUUGAACUUAAGACUGUAGCGUCGACUCCUGCCGGAAUUUCCAGCCUGCUGGCCAGCUCUGCAGAUUCACACUUGCCAGCCUCCACAAUCGCAGCUGAGGCGGAGGAACCCUAAGGGCUCAUUGAGAUCAUGGAUUUGCCCUUCUAUGCAUUGAUGGAGCACCUGCUGCCCACAGCGUCUGUAUUUGGUGCUGGGAUGCUGAGCCUCCUUCUUUAUGAAUUUUUAAAAGGACACUGAGAUCUUCAAACAGAGGCUGCCACUCUAAGCAAACAGAUCCCGAGCCCUGGACUCUGAAGCUUGGGCCCAGUUCUCCUUUUCUCCGGGUUUCAGAUCCCACUGUGAAGUGAGGGGGCCCUUCUGAUUCAGGACCCGGGGAAGCCAGGGGCAUGAGCAUCGGUGCCUCUUCUCUAUUUCAAGGACCCUUCUGGGUGUAAAGUUCUCUGAGAUGCCUUACAUGGAUUCCCACCACUGCAAGAUAACCAUCGUAUGUAAAGUGUUAUGACCAGCAGAGCGUAAUUGAAGUGCAUUCCAGAGGGAAAGACAGCGGCUCAGAUUCUAUUGAAAGAAACAUGACAUAAUGAUACCACAGCAAAAGCCAAUCUUGCUCCUUUUUAAAAAAUUAAAAACAAAACAAAACAAAAUUAAAAAACAAGAAAAAACACCACCAUAGGAUGUCCACCCUGGGAGACUAAUUCUAAGAGAGAAGCUCUGUUCUUCCACUGCUAAUCACUCCAAAUAAAUACCACGACUGAGCUUGUCGGAGAAGAGAGAGCAGCAACAGCCUUGCCCACAGGUCUUCUCAUCUGCAUGAGAACAAAGUGGAUGGCUCAGAAAGACAGAGACACUCUUCCAUCCAAUAUGAAAUCCCAUCAGAAGUGUAGAGAGGCCUCCAGCUGCAUCCACCUCCAGGCCCCACCCAGCCUCCUGUCCUGAGCCGCUUUGGAUGAGAUCAGGGGCUCAUGAGCCAUGCAAAGCCAGCCCGGCAUUCCUGCCCAGAACAGCCAUGCUUGCAUGUUUCUGUACAUUUCGUCCAUGGUCUUCUUGUCCACAAGUCUUAGCCGGCCUAUUUCCCUUCUCCAGAAACAUAAACAUGGUAUUUGUAAUUUUAUUAUCACCAAGGUUGCA
rnacentral:lncRNA from 1 species